CCUACGGGUGGCAGCAGUGAGGAAUAUUGGUCAAUGGACGAGAGUCUGAACCAGCCAAGUAGCGUGAAGGAUGACUGCCCUAUGGGUUGUAAACUUCUUUUAUAUGGGAAUAAAAUGUUCCCCGUGUGGGAUUUUGUAUGUACCAUAUGAAUAAGGAUCGGCUAACUCCGUGCCAGCAGCCGCGGUAAUACGGAGGAUCCGAGCGUUAUCCGGAUUUAUUGGGUUUAAAGGGAGCGUAGGUGGAUUGUUAAGUCAGUUGUGAAAGUUUGCGGCUCAACCGUAAAAUUGCAGUUGAAACUGGCAGUCUUGAGUACAGUAGAGGUGGGCGGAAUUCGUGGUGUAGCGGUGAAAUGCUCAGAUAUCACGAAGAACUCCGAUUGCGAAGGCAGUUCACUGGACUGCAACUGACACUGAGGCUCGAAAGUGUGGGUAUCAAACAGGAUUAGAUACCCGUGUAGUC
rnacentral:rRNA from 1 species